rnacentral:misc_RNA from 1 species
GGGAAAGAAACAAACUGUGAGUAAUUCUUCAAAAGCUUUUGGAUCCUUUCUGGGUGAGCGAACCCUUUGUCGUCACGCUUUAAAAACAAUGUAAGGCGGGUUCCUCUUGGAAGAAGUUUCUCUGGAUCCGUCUCUUCGCGAAUUGUAAAUGAACUAGCAUUAGCUUCUCCCUCCCAAACAAACUGCUUAUCAGAUUUGGGGCUCUUUGUUGAAACAACCACCUUGUCAGAAACCAGGAAUGCUGAAUAAAAGCCAACACCAAAUUG